rnacentral:rRNA from 1 species
AACUCAAAGGAAUUGACGGGGACCCGCACAAGCGGCGGAGCAUGCGGAUUAAUUCGAUGCAACGCGAAGAACCUUACCAAGGCUUGACAUAUACGAGAACGGGCCAGAAAUGGUCAACUCUUUGGACACUCGUAAACAGGUGGUGCAUGGUUGUCGUCAGCUCGUGUCGUGAGAUGUUGGGUUAAGUCCCGCAACGAGCGCAACCCUCGUUCUAUGUUGCCAGCACGUAAUGGUGGGAACUCAUGGGAUACUGCCGGGGUCAACUCGGAGGAAGGUGGGGAUGACGUCAAAUCAUCAUGCCCCUUAUGUCUUGGGCUUCACGCAUGCUACAAUGGCCGGUACAAAGGGCUGCAAUACCGCGAGGUGGAGCGAAUCCCAAAAAGCCGGUCCCAGUUCGGAUUGAGGUCUGCAACUCGACCUCAUGAAGUCGGAGUCGCUAGUAAUCGCAGAUCAGCAACGCUGCGGUGAAUACGUUCCCGGGUCUUGUACACACCGACCGUCAAGUCAUGAAAGUCGGUAACAC